GAUGAACGCUGGCGGCGUGCCUAAUACAUGCGAGUCGAGCGAACGGACGAGAAGCUUGCUUCUCUGAUGUUAGCGGCGGACGGGUGAGUAACACGUGGAUAACCUACCUAUAAGACUGGGAUAACUUCGGGAAACCGGAGCUAAUACCGGAUAAUAUUUUGAACCGCAUGGUUCAAAAGUGAAAGACGGUCUUGCUGUCACUUAUAGAUGGAUCCGCGCUGCAUUAGCUAGUUGGUAAGGUAACGGCUUACCAAGGCAACGAUGCAUAGCCGACCUGAGAGGGUGAUCGGCCACACUGGAAGUGAGACACGGUCCAGACUCCUACGGGAGGAAGCAGUAGGGAAUCUUCCGCAAUGGGCGAAAGCCUGACGGAGCAACGCCGCGUGAGUGAUGAAGGUCUUCGGAUCGUAAAACUCUGUUAUUAGGGAAGAACAUAUGUGUAAGUAACUGUGCACAUCUUGACGGUACCUAAUCAGAAAGCCACGGCUAACUACGUG
rnacentral:rRNA from 1 species